UACGUAGGGUGCAAGCGUUGUCCGGAAUUAUUGGGCGUAAAGAGCUCGUAGGCGGUUUGUCGCGUCUGCCGUGAAAAGUCCGGGGCUCAACUCCGGAUCUGCGGUGGGUACGGGCAGACUAGAGGGAUGUAGGGGAGACUGGAAUUCCUGGUGUAGCGGUGAAAUGCGCAGAUAUCAGGAGGAACACCGAUGGCGAAGGCAGGUCUCUGGGCAUUAAC
rnacentral:rRNA from 1 species